rnacentral:lncRNA from 1 species
AAAGCGAAAAUUCAUUAAGUCUGCGGACCACCUAUGCAAUUGUGACAUCCCCAAUUUCACGACCAGAAAAGACUGAUCUGUUUAUGCUUUUUUUUUUUUUUUAAAUCAGAGUAAUUGUUUAAAGAAAACUGUUGUGGAAUUUUUUCCCAAAACAAAAUAUGAUAAGAAUUUAUCAAGCGUAUUAAUUAAAGAAAAUGUAUUUUCAUUAAAUAAUAAAACCUCAGGAUGUCAUGUUCCGAUACAGACCAAAAGCAUAAACAAUAUAAAAUAGACCUUACAAUAGUUAUUUACAACUACUGAUCUAUAAUCCAAAAUCUCUCAUCAAGUCCACCAACUUAUACCCUUGUGCCAUUACCUGUAAUGAAAAGUAAACUGAGUGGGUCAGGCUUGGGAGCCUAGUGAACAUAUAGGGUUUUCAACCCACAAUAAUAUAAUUAUUAUAUUUAAUCAGCAAACAAUCAACCCAAUUACCCAUCCCCAUUAUCUUCUUUAUUACUUAAGGUUUUACCCUAAGAACCAACUAUCCUUCAUUCAUUUAUUCCUAAGGAUUUACCUAAGGAAUUGGCACGAAGUCCAUUGCUGCCAAAGUUUAUUUAUCAGGUACUAAAUCCAUGGCUAUCAGGUGCUAACUCCAUAGUCACCAAUGUUCACUUAAUAAGCGCUAACUCCAUAGUCGCCAUGGUUUACUUGACAAGCGCUAACUCCAUAGUCGCCAAGGUUUACUCAACGUGCGCUAACUCCAUAGUCGCCAAGGUUUAUACAAUAGGCGCUAACUCCAUAGUCACCAAGGUUUAUACAAUAGACGCUAACUCCAUAGUCACCAAGGUUUAUACAAUAGGCGCUAACUCCAUAGUCACCAACUAUCCCAUCUACCCAUGUUCUACCCAACAUUUUCGUAGAUAUAAUACUUAUACAGUUUAAAUCAUUUAACACCUGUAUAAAACAUCAAUUCCACGCCCGUCUCAAAUAGACAAAUAAUAUAUAAACACAUAGCACGUAUUUCAUAGCAAAUACUUCAUAUUUAUGUGUUAGAAGAAAGUGACUGUACACUCACACAUAUAAACAACAAUAUAUAUACACAUAGCACGUAUUUUAUAAAAUACUUCAUAUCUAUGUGUAAGAUGAAAGUGACUAUACACUCACUUGAUCAGAAGAUGAUCGGACAGCACUACGACUUGUAGAAGUAGUAUUCUUCGGUAGUCUGGAAGAUCUUCACAAAAACCGGGCUCCUCGCGGGCAGGGCUUCGGCACGGGAAUAACUCUCCUCGGGAUCUUUGGGACUUCGAAACUUGCUUCGGGGUUCGGGAAUAACACCUGGGCUUCGGGAUAUAAUUGGCACGCAAAACGAUGCAAAACUUAGAGAGAAAGGAAGAAAAUUAGCAAGGGAAAUGGCUGAUCUCGGGUUCUAUUUAUAGGUUGAUGGGUCUGGGAUUACGCUGGGCGUAAUUUCCAAGUACGCUUGGCGUAAUCUUGGUUACGCUGGGCGUAAUUUCCAAGUACGUUGGGCAUAAUCUUGGUUACGCUGGGCGUACGCUUUGGAUAAGCAUUGGUAUGCGUGCCACGAUCUUCAAAAUUUCAUAACUUUCGCAUAUGAGAUCCGUUUUCAAUGUUCUUUAUAUCCAUGCGUAGUUGAGAUUAAGCUCUACAACUUUCAUUUAGACUUCGUUGGCUAAUUUUGACUUUAUUUUUAUUAUAUUAUUUUUAGUAGGCCGGGACAAGAAAACUCCGUUAUAAAUUCAUAACUUCUUCAUCUGACGUCCGUUUUCGUCUGUCUUUUUUACCGUUGGACUAAUAUUAACAAGAUUUCGAUUCUAGUUUAGAUUGUUUCAGCUAAAAACCGCUCGAUCUCAAAUCGAGUAUUCGGGCUGCAUACCGCUAAGUCGAAACUUAGAAAAAUCAUAACUUCCUCAUACGAAGGCAGAUUCGGACGUUCUUUUCAUGCACGCUCUCGGUUUAACGUAUUCUAUGACUUUCGUUUAGAUCGUUAAGGCUAAAUAUCUCUCUAACAUAAAUUCACUAUUUACGUCGCGCUGUGUCGUGCCGGUUCUGUCGCAAAACUUCGACAGGUCAUAACUUCUUCGUUAUAACUCGGAUUUCGGCGUUCUUUAUAUGUACGGAAUCCUUGUAACAUAUACUACAACUUAGUUAAGAUUAUUGAUUCUAAAUAAUCUUCCAUCAGAAACUCAUUUUUUACCAUUAUCGUCUCUAAAUUGACUAGCCCUGAUCUAUGGGCGGUACAAUUGUCUCCCCCUUAGGAUGAUUACGUCCCGGAAUCAUCAACGAAACAGUCCUUACGAUAAAUUUCCAUCCUAAUUAAUAACCGUGAUUCUUAAUCUUUCAUCUACUUUUCAUACUAUGUUGGACUUUCAAUCGUAACCUUCAAGUUACAAAAUAAAUCAUUAUUGUGGACUCCUUCUUCUUCUUAGGAUAAAUACAUUCCCUUAUCUAUUGUAAAAGACCGAUGAGUCGUGUCCCGAUGACCUCUCAUUGUAGUCGGACUCAAUUUGAUAUGACCACUAGGGUCGGAAUAACAAUCAUCCUACUAGCCAUUACCGAAACAAGGGUAUGACAUAUCUGACUAAAAACGAACUCAAUUACAAGCUUCUUGGUAACCUUGUGACUUUCCCUGAUCCAAGUGCGAGUCUUGUGCUUCCGGUAGUAUAGGCCUCUACUACCAUUCACACCUACUCAUACUCGUCCCAAGUAUUGUCUUGCAGUCCCCAAGUCCUAAAAAUCACAAAACAAUUUAACACAUACGAAUGUGUCCACAUAAUCAUAAACAAUCUCCCUAGACUCUACUAGGACUUCUUCAUUGCGUAUCUUCAAUCAUCAAUCUUGCUUCAACUUGGUUGGCGGUGGAAAGUUCAUCCGAUGGGACAACUUCAUGAAUAACACCAAUAUUCCAUCAUCCCGCCAAUCGAAGGUUUACUUCGGACGUACCGUACUCUUCUAAACGCACCGCUUGACAUAUACUAACGACAAGACACCACUCUUACGAUAUCUUCCGAAAGGUGUCAUUCACUAUCAUAAGCCUUUUUCAUUUCCUCCAUUUACUCAAUCCUCUAUGAGUUUUCACCAUGACAUUAUUUUCACAGAUGCAUGCAUUCAUUGCAUCAAGACGAAAAUAUAGAUAGAGAAGAUUUAGAUGCGUAAUCCUCCUUAUUACUCCGAAAAGUUAUAUGCCAGUUCUAAUAUCGUAAUUAAACGUUUAGAAACCUGAGCACAUAAAAUUUCCAGAUCCGGUCGGCAACAGACCAUAGAUCCGAACAAAUAAUAUCACAUAUGGCAAUCAUAUAACAUUUAGCACCUAAAAGCAUUUAAGGCAUCUUUCUUAAAAUAUACUAGUGCUCGUGUCUAAAAUAUGGUAGACACUCAUCUCACGAUCAUCACUUAGAAUUCUAAGUUUAAGUCUAGAAAUUUCGUACAAAAUUCCUAGUUCGCUUAAAAUAAUGCUCUGAUACCAACUGUGACAUCCCCAAUUUCACGGCCAGAAAAGACCGAUCUGUUUAUGCUUUGUUUUUAAAAUCAGAGUAAACAUUUAAAGAAAACUGUUGCGGAAUUUGUUCCCAAAACAAAAUAUGAUAAGAAUUUAUCAAGCGUAUUUAUUAAAGAAAAUGUAUUUUCAUUAAAUAAUAAAACCUCGGGAUGUCAUGUUCCGAUACAGACCAAAAGCCUAAACAAUAUAAAUUAGACCUUACAAUAGUUAUUUACAACUACUGAUCUAUAAUCCAAAAUCUCUCGUCAAGUCCACCAACUUAUACCCUUGUGCCAUUACCUGUAAUGAAAAGAAAACUGAGUGGGUCAGGCUUGGGAGCCUGGUGAGCAUAUAGGGUUUUCAACCCAC